CAACCAUCAUGUCUAAACAUCCCGCAGGUUACUAUGGGGACUAUAACCCAGAUUUGGUUGUUAACCACGCUGGGUUAACCGAAGAGGAGGUGGACCACCUCCUCACCCAAAUUCCCGCGGGCACCUUCGAGUGGGUUUCCCUUAUUAACAUCUAUCUGCGACUGGAACCGCCCCCAUCCCUUGGAGGUUAUUUUGAUAUUUUUACCGUGGGGCGCUUGACCGCCGCGAUAGACACCGAUGAGGAGCGGGGUAUAAUUGACAUUUGGGUAUGGGUACAUUAAACCUCAUACAUGUUGGAUCGUUUUAUGAUGUUCAUAGCGUUUUUUAUGAUGUUCAUAGCGUUAGGUUUGGCUUAAAAACUGCAAUUAAAAAUUUAUUUAGGUGUAUGACUUUUUUAGUUUAAGUAUGUAGUUUGUUUUAUGUAUAAUAAAAAAUAAUAUUCAUUCUGAUUAUUUUUCUGAUCUUAUUUCCUGUCUAACGUUUUUUUCUUGUAAAUUUAUGAAUCAAAAAUUUUAUAAAUAUCCAGUUGUAUUUGAUUAUUAAUUUAUCGUUACAAUCAUUUUCCCCAAAAAAUUUAUAUCCAAUAGUUUACAAACAAUAUAUACAUUUCUAAUAGUUAAAACACAUUUAUACAUCUUUUAUAAAAAAAGUGGAUUUGUUUAAUUGAAAUAGGUAAAAAUUCAUAUCCAAAACCUUAAUUACUGGGCGGUUAACAUUUUUUACCAAAAGAUUUUGAAGAAUUUACAACAAUUUAUCAUAAACCCUCAACAGAUGAUAUAGUAAUUAUUGUAAAAGCUGAAGUUUAUAUUUUUUUCAUUAUCUACUUUUAGAUUUAAAACUAAUUAUCCGAAAUCUAUAAGCGAAGAAUUUAAAAUAUCAAGUCCAAUUUCGGCAGCGAUAACAACUUACUCAGGUGGUAUUUAUCUUUUUCUCAGAGAUAAUACAUAUAUUACAUUAUCUAGUUGCAUCUCUGGAUAUAAUGUUCCUGGUUUAACAAACGAAUUAUUUGAAGGUGUUCCUAAUAAAAUAACAAGGACAUUUAGAUAUUUAAACGGAAAGCUGUACUUUUUUAAUGAAAAUAAUUACUUUGAAUAUGAUGAGUUUACUAAGAGUGUCAUACAAGCGGGACCUAAAACUUUAUCUAUAUUUAACAUUAAUUGUCCGCGAGAACCCAUCUUAAUUCAAUUGAAAAAAUUAUCUUUUAAAAAGAUUAUUACACACAAUGCAGUCCUGGUUGAAAAUUUAACAGAUUAUACUCGUGAAGAAGAUAGUUGGUGUAGUUGGUGUAUUCAUCAGUGUUUGUUUACAGUAAGUUUAUAUUACAACUUAAUAAAACGUUCUUUCUAAACAUCUAAUUUAAACAUCUAAUUUCAGCUUCAGACCUACAAAAGUUGUGCCAAAAAGACGCAUCGUAAGUUUAUCGAAAAUAUUGACUUCGGCACAAGUUCUUCAUCCACAAAUUCUUCCGAUUCAGACUACUGAAUUCUUCUCUAAAACCAACAUAAAUAAUCUUUUUUUGGAAAAUUUUUAUCAAAUUUUUAUCAAACAAAAAGUGCGUCACAAAAUUCCUACGAUAAGGAAAGCGUGUUAUCUGUUAACCGCAAAAAUUGAUUAUAAAAGUUCCGUUUUUUACACAUUUCACCAGUUUUAUUAAAACUAUCUUUGUGAGAAGUUGUAUGUGCUCCGCUGUGUAUUUUUGCAUUUAAAUUUCAAAGGAUUCUGUAAUGGCUGAUCAACUAUUAAAUCUGAAUAAAAUUGCUGCCUGUGAAUAUACUGAUACAUAUGUCAGUGCCAACGAUUUGGAAGUGAACAAGAAAUAUAAAAUCAUCAAUUUAACCAAGGCAAACACACAACAUGGGGUUAUGAUGGUAGCAUAUCUGGACAACGUCGGUAAAGUUUUUUUACCUAAACGACUAACAGCAGUUAUGAAUGAUACCAUAAUUACGACACUAAUGGAAGGACUCGGAUCUUAUUUGAUUUAUAUGGGACGUAAGCAAGCUAAUGGAAAUCAGGAACAUGAUGCCCACAUUUUUAAUUUCGAACGUAUUGUUCACGAAGAUUAAUGUAAAAUUUUUUGGUUUCCAAAAUAGACAGCACUAUCCACUCUACCUACCUGAGGUUCGACUCCCCAUGGAAGGAACAACAACAACAACAACUUUUUUUGCAUUAUAUUUUAAACAAAUAACAAAAUAAACUUGGUGCGCAACAGACAAGUUAGGCAAACAACAUUACAAAAAUAAAAAACUACAUAUACUA